rnacentral:rRNA from 1 species
GUCGAGCGGUAACAGGGGGAGCUUGCUCCCCGCUGACGAGCGGCGGACGGGUGAGUAAUGCAUAGGAAACUGCCCAGUAGUGGGGGAUAGCCCGGGGAAACCCGGAUUAAUACCGCAUACGCCCUUUGGGGGAAAGCAGGGGAUCUUCGGACCUUGCGCUAUUGGAUGUGCCUAUGUCGGAUUAGCUAGUUGGUGGGGUAAGAGCCUACCAAGGCGACGAUCCGUAGCUGGUCUGAGAGGAUGAUCAGCCACAUCGGGACUGAGACACGGCCCGAACUCCUACGGGAGGCAGCAGUGGGGAAUAUUGGACAAUGGGGGCAACCCUGAUCCAGCCAUGCCGCGUGUGUGAAGAAGGCUUUCGGGUUGUAAAGCACUUUCAGUGAGGAGGAAAACCUUACGACUAAUACUCGUGAGGCUUGACGUUACUCACAGAAGAAGCACCGGCUAACUCCGUGCCAGCAGCCGCGGUAAUACGGAGGGUGCAAGCGUUAAUCGGAAUUACUGGGCGUAAAGCGCGCGUAGGUGGUUUGAUAAGCGAGAUGUGAAAGCCCCGGGCUCAACCUGGGAACGGCAUUUCGAACUGUCAGGCUAGAGUAUGGUAGAGGAGUGUGGAAUUUCCUGUGUA